rnacentral:rRNA from 1 species
GACGAACGCUGGCGGCGUGCCUAAUACAUGCAAGUUGAGCGAUGAAGAUUGGUGCUUGCACCAAUUUGAAGAGCAGCGAACGGGUGAGUAACGCGUGGGGAAUCUGCCUUUGAGCGGGGGACAACAUUUGGAAACGAAUGCUAAUACCGCAUAACAACUUUAAACAUAAGUUUUAAGUUUGAAAGAUGCAAUUGCAUCACUCAAAGAUGAUCCCGCGUUGUAUUAGCUGGUUGGUGAGGUAAAGGCUCACCAAGGCGAUGAUACAUAGCCGACCUGAGAGGGUGAUCGGCCACAUUGGGACUGAGACACGGCCCAAACUCCUACGGGAGGCAGCAGUAGGGAAUCUUCGGCAAUGGACGAAAGUCUGACCGAGCAACGCCGCGUGAGUGAAGAAGGUUUUCGGAUCGUAAAACUCUGUUGGUAGAGAAGAACGUUGGUGAGAGUGGAAAGCUCAUCAAGUGACGGUAACUACCCAGAAAGGGACGGCUAACUACGUG